rnacentral:lncRNA from 1 species
GCAGAGCAAAACAAGCUACUAAAGUCAGCUCUCUCUACGAGACAAAAUAUUUGCAACUUUAGACUCAAUUGUCAGUUCCCUUAAAACUAUCAGAGUAUCCCAAGAUCAUUCUAUAGUGAGGGGCGUUUGGGCCCCGGAUAUAGGUGCCAAUUGAAGGGACCAGUGAACUAAAAAUCUGUUGGGUGAUACUCCAGAAUCCUAUAUUAGAAUCACAUGUGGAAUCGAAGUAAGAUAGUGUGCACCUUUGUCUCGAGUGAUGCAUAGUCAUAUUUCUAUAAUCCUGACUAGUGAGAUGAAAAACAGUUAAUCAGUCUAUAGUACAGGGUCAACCCUUUGCCUGGGAUUCCUUUCCAGGUUUUGCCUUCACAAAUUAAGAAAAUGCUAAAUGAUAGGCUAAUAAUAUCAUAACCAAGAAUUAUUAACAAUGAGGUGGUAAACGACAAAUUAUGAAACAAUACCAAUAAGCAAAAAACACACAAUCCCGGCUAUUUUCUGCCUUGAGAUGAGGCCGAAUGUCACGCUGGAACCCACGUAGGGCCAGUCCCUGUAUAUCCCCAACUCCUGUAUUUCCCCCCUUUUUCUUUUAGGAAUACCUCAAUGAUAUACAUAAUGCAAAACUUGCUUGAACUGCGCAAACAAAGCAGGGUUGUUAACUUCCUUAAGAAAAGAUUCCUCAAUCUGCUGAAUGACACCUGUAACAUACAAAGAGUUAGUUAACUGAUGUUCUGGGGGGGGAAGAGGGGAUAUUUGUCCAGUAUAGUCAGCCAUAGCAGUUGGAGAAACAAAUGAAUGCACAGGACUCCAGUCCAAAUCUUUUUACUAGUGGUGUGUCGUCAGGAGGGAGAAAUCCAGUUCGUUCUGCGGAUCUACUGGGCUAGGAUCAAAAAGAUUCUCUAGUUGCAGUCCAUCCUUGUCUUUAACAAAAGUACACACGGGCAGCAGAAGCGGAAACGGCACGGCGAGCAGAGGUGGAGGCGCGGGCAGCAGCGGCGGCGGCGGUGCUCUCCGAGGGCUGCACUCUUUCUUCUCCCCGACUGGGGGAGGGGUUGAAGUCCUGGAUCGGGUCCGGCAGAAGCUGCUUUCCUCANUACCCUUUUCCCCUUUCCCCUUUUCCCGGGUCGUGGGUCUGUGAGUCCCCCAUCCCAUUCGUCACAGAACCGGGCCGAACGCCCGUAAAC